rnacentral:lncRNA from 1 species
AAAUAUUCGGUAGAUAUCCACAGUGAUAGACUCUUCCCCCAUAAACAAACAUUAUGGUCCAACUUCAGUGAUUAAACUCAGCAAACGUCAGUUUCCCAAUCUUAUUUUGUAAUCUUCUAAUGUUUCAUGAAGACACCAGGAUUAAGAGCCUCCAAGAAUUUUUAUAUCACUUGGACAAUAGAUACCACAGAAAUGUUCUGCCUACAAAGCACAUACGAAUUCCCAGCAGCAUUGUGUGCGGCGCACAUUAUUUAACACCGCGUGUAAACCCCCCGGCAGGCGCAUCUAGGCGCAGCGCGCUGCUUUGCAUUUGCAAUUAUUACCCAACCUUUGCAUCCCUUGCGCUGAUACCGGCCCCAUUCCCAGCUGCGGAGCCACAUCUGGCCGACUGACGAUGCCAACAAGUUGGGGCGAGGCAGGGCCGGGCAGGACAGGGUAGGAUGCGGGCGGGAUGCUGGACCAGCCGCGGCGGGCGCGGAGCGGGCGCNCCCGGCGCUCUCCCUCACCCGGUCCCAGCCUGCGCUAGGGGACGUUCUGCUCGGGCGUUCUCCGCAGGAAGAGCUGUUAGACAUUGGAACGGGCUGCCCAGGGCAGUGCUGGAGUCACCGUCCCUGGAGGUGUUUAAGGAAAGACCACCGAGUGCUGGUGUGGUUGUCACAGUGGUGUCCGCUCAUAGACUGGACUCGAUGAUCUCGGAGUCUCUUGAUUCUGCGAUUCUGAGCACUGACCUGCGCCCAGGAAUGUCCUGUGUUUUCAUUAAGCUGUGAAAGAUUUUGUGCUGCACUGGUGAUACUGGAAAUCACUCUGGAAGUUAUGAUGCAGACAGCAAAUUCUUGGUGCCUGGGGCUGUGUAAGUCCUUAAGCUGGUAAUGUACAUUAGAAGGAAUUUUAGAUCUAUAGAGCCAACUCUUUCAUGAGAGGAUCUAAGAACAGGCUUAAAGGGCUUCUUACUGUGAUACACAGAGCAUGUUAAGUAAUAUUUUACUCUUUCAUUUGCAAAGAUGGAGUUUUAGGAAGUGGCAUAGUUAAGCCAGAAAUAAACACAAAUAUUGUUAAAAUUCUUCA